GUGAAACAAUCAUCAGUUAUGACUGCAGCUGUAGGAAUCAUAAUUGUUGUUCUGGUUCUCAUCCUCUGUCUCUCUGGACUCAUGUGGUUCAGGAAGAAGGCAUCCAAAUCCACYUCUGGCACAAYAGAAACAAGAGACASAGCAGACGAGGGACAGGUGAGUCUGUUGGGAUCAGAAGAUGACUGUGAUGACUGUGUAUUCUUUGUGGAACAUUUCUACUCCUCAUGUUGUCUAUACUCUUUCCCCAUCAGGGAGACUCUACUCUCCUGUAUGACAACGUCAUAGGCAUGGCCAUGCAGCAGAGACAGCAGUCACCGUCGAGUCAGGAUGACAUUCACUACACCAGCGUUCACUUCUCUCCCUCUAAAAACCAGGAAGAGCUUUGUACUCCAUCGUCCAGCUGCCUCAACCCCAGAAACAGGACAAAGAUGUCCAGUACGCUGCUGUGAAAUUCAACCCCCCAACCCACGGCGGCACAAGCAGCUGAGGAGGACACCUCUGAGAUUUACAAAACAGUCAACAAACCCAGAACCAAGACCACCUGAACACAACAAAACCAAAACCAAAACCAAGACCACCUGAACACAACAAAUCCCCAAACCAAGAAGAACUUAAAACAACAAACCCAGAACCAGGAAGACCUGAACACAACAAAACCAGAACAAAGAAGACCUGAACACAACAAAUCCAGAACCAAGAAGACCUGAACACAACAAGUUCAUCAAAAACCUUGUAUAUCUGGACCAGUAUAUUAAAACUUAGUCAUUUAAUGAAGCAAUAAGGUCAAAGGGGGUGUGGUAUAUUGGUCAAAAUACUGUAUCACGGAUAAGGGCUGCUCUUAAGCACAACACAAUGCAGAGUGCCUGGAUACAGCCCUUAGCCGUGGUAUAUUGACCAUAUUCCAAAACCCCUGAGUUGCCUUCUUGCUAUUAUAAGCUGGUUACCAACAUCAAUAGAAAAGUAAACAAGUAUUUUUGCRUCAUACUCGUGGUAUAUUGUCUGAUAUACAGUACAUACGGCAAAAUGCUGUUUCAACCAAUCAGCAUCCAGGACCCAAACUACCUGGUUUAUAAUAGUAUAUAAUAAUAUAUGCCAUCUAGCAGGCACUUUUAUCCAAUGUCAUUUACUUUGAGUAGGAUUGCUGAUAGGUCAGUUUAGCCUUAAACAAUGAUGAAUAA